GGGGGUGACUUGGAUUCGACGGGGAUCGGAAGCCUGUGGCGCAUGCCGAGGUCCGGCGGCCUCGUUAAACAGCCGGAAAACCACAACUGCCGAGCCUGAGCUCGCACUCGCGGCGUAAGCCGCGCGUCCCUCCCCGCUGGUGCCUGCGGCACGGGUGAGGGGCGUCAGAGACCGCAGGCUGCGGCCCGCGGCGCCCCGACGCGGGCUCAAGACCAGGGGCUUCGGGCGGCGCUUGGCCCUGUCUGUGGGGCGGGCGCGGCCGACGACAAACACAGACUAAGCAUGUAGGGCCACAGCAGCGGAAGCUCCCCGGACGCGGGUUCGAUUCCCGCCACCUCCACCA
rnacentral:tmRNA from 1 species